rnacentral:rRNA from 1 species
AUUGAACGCUGGCGGCAGGCCUAACACAUGCAAGUCGAGCGGAGCGGCGGACGGGUGAGUAAUGCCUAGGAAUCUGCCUGGUAGUGGGGGAUAACGUCCGGAAACGGGCGCUAAUACCGCAUACUAUCAGAUGAGCCUAGGUCGAAUUAGCUAGUUGGGGGGGUAAGGGCCUACCAAGGCGACGAUCCUUAACUGGUCUGAGAGGAUGAUCAGUCACACGGGAACGGAGAAACGGUCCAGACUCCUGCGGGAGGAAGCAUGGGGGAAUAUGGGACAUUGGGCGAAAGCCGGAGCCAGCCAUGCCGCGUGUGUGAAGAAGGUCUUCGGAUUGUAAAGCACUUUAAGUUGGGAGGCGUUACCAACAGAAUAAGCACCGGCUAACUUCGUGCCAGCAGCCGCGGUAAUAC